rnacentral:tmRNA from 18 species
GGGGGCGCACUGGUUUCGACGGGGAUAAAGAAGCCGGAGUGGCAGGUCGAGGCGCCGCUGGCCUCGUUAAAAGCGGCACAAAUGUAAUUGCCAACAACGAUUACGAAUACGCAAUGGCAGCCUAAUUAGGCUUGCCGCACUGAUUGGCUGACGUCAGAUACGCCGACCAGUGACAAACUUAUCCGACUGGCACCCAAAGCCGUCUGUCGCAGCGGGUGUAAGAUUUUUUAAGACAGACUUGCCGCCGGUAGCCCGAUCAGGGGCAUCACCGGAUGGCGAGCUUGAAUACCUGAUCUAAACCUGUAGAAGCUUCGAGUGGACUGUUCUCGGACGCGGGUUCGAUUCCCGCCGCCUCCACCA